ACGAACGCUGGCGGCGUGCUUAACCCCUGCAAGUCGCACGGAAAGGCCCUGCUUGCAGGGUGCUCGAGUGGCGAACGGGUGAGUAACACGUGGGUGAUCUGCCCCUUACUUUGGGAUAAGCCUGGGAAACUGGGUCUAAUACUGGAUAGGACCAUGCUGUAGGUGGUGUGGUGGAAAGAUUAGUUUCGGUAAGGGAUGAGCUCGCGGCCUAUCAGCUUGUUGGUGGGGUAAUGGCCUACCAAGGCGUCGACGGGUAGCCGGCCUGAGAGGGUGGACGGCCACAUUGGGACUGAGAUACGGCCCAGACUCCUACGGGAGGCAGCAGUGGGGAAUAUUGCACAAUGGGCGCAAGCCUGAUGCAGCGACGCCGCGUGGGGGAUGACGGCCUUCGGGUUGUAAACUCCUUUCAGCCAUGACGAAGCCCUUGUGGUGACGGUAGUGGUAGAAGAAGCACCGGCUAACUACGUG
rnacentral:rRNA from 1 species